CCUACGGGUGGCAGCAGUCGAGAAUCAUUCACAAUGGGGGAAACCCUGAUGGUGCGACGCCGCGUGGGGGAAUGAAGUUCUUCGGAUUGUAAACCCCUGUCAUGUGGGAGCAAAUUAAAAAGAUAGUACCACAAUAGGAAGAGACGGCUAACUCUGUGCCAGCAGCCGCGGUAAUACAGAGGUAUCAAGCGUUGUUCGGAAUCGCUGGGCGUAAAGGGUUCGUAGGCUGUUUCGUAAGUCGUGUGUGAAAGGCGCGGGCUCAACCCGCGGACGGCACAUGAUACUGCGAGACUAGAGUAAUGGAGGGGGAACCGGAAUUCGCGGUGUAGCAGUGAAAUGCGUAGAUAUCGAGAGGAACACUGGUGGCGAAGGCGGGUUCCUGGACAUUAACUGACGCUGAGGCACGAAGGCCAGGGGAGCGAAAGGGAUUAGAUACCCCAGUAGUC
rnacentral:rRNA from 1 species